AUCGUUCAUCUCAUAUACGAGACGCAAAAGUUCGCUGAAGGAACGGCAU
rnacentral:ncRNA from 1 species